rnacentral:rRNA from 1 species
UACGUAGGGCGCAAGCGUUGUCCGGAAUUAUUGGGCGUAAAGAGCUCGUAGGCGGCUUGUCACGUCGGAUGUGAAAGCCCGGGGCUUAACUCCGGGUCUGCAUUCGAUACGGGCUAGCUAGAGUGUGGUAGGGGAGAUCGGAAUUCCUGGUGUAGCGGUGAAAUGCGCAGAUAUCAGGAAGAACACCCGUGGCGAAAGCGGCUCUCUGGAACGGUACUGACGCUGAGACGCGAAAGCGUGGGGAGCGAACAGG